UGAGGAAUAUUGGUCAAUGGGCGGAAGCCUGAACCAGCCAAGUCGCGUGAGGGAAGACGGUCCUAUGGAUUGUAAACCUCUUUUGCCGGGGAGCAAUGCCGCUCUUGCGAGAGCGGAGGGAGAGUACCCGGAGAAAAAGCAUCGGCUAACUCCGUGCC
rnacentral:rRNA from 1 species